rnacentral:rRNA from 1 species
GGUAAUACCUGAUGAUCCCGACGGGUCGCAUGUUCCGCCGAUCAAAGCUCCGGCGGCCUGAGAGCAGCCUAUGUCCUAUCAGCUUGUUGGUGGGGUAAUGGCCUACCAAGGCGACGACGGGUAGCGGGCGUGAGAGCGUGACCCGCCACAUCGGGACUGAGACACUGCCCGGACACCUACGGGUGGCUGCAGCAACGAAUAUUCCGCAAUGGGCGAAAGCCUGACGGAGCGACGCCGCGUGUGGGAUGAAGUCCUUCGGGAUGUAAACCACUGUCAGGGGUUAGAAAGAUCUGAUCAGCCCCACAGGAAGCCUCGACUAACUCCGUGCCAGCAGUCGCGGUAAUACGGAGGAGGCAAGCGUUGUUCGGAAUUACUGGGCUUAAAGCGCGUGUAGGCGGAUGGGUAAGUGUCAAGUGAAAGCCCCCGGCUCAACCGGGGAACUGCUAGGCAAACUGCUCGUCUUGAGGCAGGUAGGGGUGCAUGGAACUCUAGGUGGAGCGGUGAAAUGCGUAGAUAUCUAGAGGAACGCCGGUGGCGAAAGCGGUGCACUGGGCCUGUUCUGACGCUGAGACGCGAAAGCGUAGGGAGCGAACGGGAUUAGAUACCCCGGUAGUCUACGCCGUAAACGAUGCGCACUAGGCUCGAGGACUUCUGACGGUGCUCGGGCCGAAGCAAAAGUGUUAAGUGCGCCGCCUGGGGAGUACGGCCGCAAGGCUAAAACUCAAAGGAAUUGACGGGGGCUCACACAAGCGGUGGAGCAUGUGGAUCAAUUCGAAGCAACGCGAAGAACCUUACCUGGGUUUGACAUGCUUGGAUGCGUCCCUUGGAAACAGGAGUAGGCUGCCUUCGGGUGAAACUUGCACAGGUGCUGCAUGGCUGUCGUCAGCUCGUGCUGUGAAGUGUUGGGUUAAGUCCCGUAACGAGCGAAACCCUUAUCGUUAGUUGCCAGCGGGUCAUGCCGGGGACUCUAGCGAGACUGCCGGUGUUAAACCGGAGGAAGGCGGGGAUGACGUCAAGUCCUCAUGGCCUUUACGCCCAGGGUGUCACACGUGCUACAAUGGGGUGAACAAAGCGACGCGAUCCGGUGACGGGGAGCAAAUCGCAAAAAACACCCCUCAGUUCGGAUUGGAGUCUGCAACUCGACUCCAUGAAGUUGGAAUCGCUAGUAAUCGCGUAUCAGCCACGACGCGGUGAAUAUGUUCCUGAGCCUUGUACACACCGCCCGUCAAGUCAUGGAAGCCGGGAGCACCCGUAGUCCGCUUAGUCAACCC